GCAAAAAAGAAGAAAUGCCACGAACCCAAGAAGAUAACAGAUGUUGUCCAUAUUCGGUAUUUUUACUCGCAUAAUAUUGUAUGAAAGUAGAGAGGGCCUGGAUAAGAGUUAGUAAUUUUGGUCAAUUCAAGCUGGUGACGUCAUAGUCCGAGUUAGACAACACAGCAGGACAACAACCGAUGGAAAUGAAAUGUGGGUCACAAAAGUGGGACGAUCUAAGCAAAUUAAGAUGAAAGAGGAAGCAAGUGAACAAGAAUUAGAAAACCUAAAGUCUUUCCUGUCUCAGAAGAGGCUCUGGCUCCACCAGAUCACCAACCAGUUCUGAGGAUGAACCUCCACAUCGUCUUCAUGGUGGCCACGUGAUGGACUGGUGACCUGUCCAGAGUGAACACCGCCUCUCAUCUGAUGACUGCUAGAGAUGGGCACCACCAGCCCCCCUCACCACCCUGCAAGGAUCAGCGUGCUCAGAUCAUGGAUAGAAAGAUUUUAAGGCAAAGAAGACCCCUAGAAAUGUUUUUUCACCCCAGGCAUCUGGUCCCAAUCAUUAUCAGUUGUGAUGAUGCCACAUACAUAGUGAGUCCACAACAUCUUAAAAUUGUUCCUGUAAAGUGCAGUGGUCCAGUGAAUGGGAAUGUUCUGCUGAUCCUCAUUGUUCUUCGGAAGGAGAAAUGUCAGUUUGUCUGGAGUAAUACUGGAAUACUGUGAUAUUAAAUUAAAACAAUACUUUUUGGUGAAACAUUCUCACAUAUCCUCUGAAGUGUAGCUGUUGUUUUAUUGUGCUAAUUUUCAUAAGCAUGUUGUCUGUAAACUUUGAAUACAUUGACAAUUUGUACAAUUCUGUUAUCAUAUAUUGUCAGUGGCCUCUUGGAAAAACGUCAAUUUAUUGAAUACAAAUUUGUUUCACCUGGAAAGUGUGUUGCAGUUGAUACUUCUCUGUUCUGGUAGCCUAAUAUGUUUGCAGUACUGUAGUGUGUUCGAAGCAUGUAAUGUACAAAGUGACAAAGCAGAAUAAUAAAAAAUAUUAAGUAAUUAAAAACUUUAUUUCAUUAGCAAUUAUAAUACGAAAGUAUAAUUGUAGAAUAUUGUGAUUGCACUACUAAUAUAUGAAAUAUGUAAUGCCAAUAUAAAUAUAUUUUAAAUGUAAUUCAAUCACAAAAUAGUACACUCAAAAUAUACCAAUCAAGCAUGUUUAUAUUACAUAUAAAACAAAAUACUUAAAGUAUACAAAGCUUAACUUAAAUUGUUCCAAAAAGUUGGUGAAAGUACACUUUAAAUUGUACUGUAAUACAAUUUAAAAACUAUUAAAAUACACUAAGCACAAAAUUAGUUGUUCCUAAGUGAAGUUGAAGUGUACUCAUGAUUAGUCUUACCAAAAGUAUGCUUAAGUAUGUUAAAAUUUAACAUACUUAGUACAUAAAUUUUUCACCGGGUUAUAUACAUAUAUAUAUAUAUAUAUUCAUACACAAAGAGACAGACAGACACAGAGAAAAAUUAAAAUUCAUUCAGAAUGCCCAGUCAUUCUGAACUAUUAUGUAGCCAGGUUGCACCAAUUAUAGACGGCAGGGCCGUGCAGAGACCUAUGGAGAGGCAGGGGCUCAAAUUUAAAAAAGGGGCACAUUGAACAAAAACUCAGUACAACAACAUAGCUGCAGCUGAUCCAGAAUGCUGCUGCUGGAGUUCUCAC